CUACGGAUAGCUCAGUGGUAAAGUGCUUGCCUGCCAGGCAUGGAGCCCUGGGUUCAAUCCCCAAUCAGUCAA
rnacentral:tRNA from 1 species